rnacentral:rRNA from 1 species
UAAUACAUAGGGUGCAAGCGUUGUCCGGAAUUAUUGGGCGUAAAGAGCUCGUAGGUGGUUCGUCACGUCGGAUGUGAAACUCUGGGGCUUAACCCCCAGACCUGCAUUCGAUACGGGCGAGCUUGAGUAUGGUAGGGGAGUCUGGAAUUCCUGGUGUAGCGGUGGAAUGCGCAGAUAUCAGGAGGAACACCAAUGGCGAAGGCAGGACUCUGGGCCAUUACUGACACUGAGGAGCGAAAGCGUGGGAGCGAACAGGAUUAGAUACCCUGGUAGUCCACGCCGUAAACGGUGGGCACUAGUUGUGGGGACCUUCCACGGUCUCUGCGACGCAGCUAACGCAUUAAGCGCCCCGCCUGGGGAGUACGGCCGCAAGGUUAAAACUCAAAGGAAUUGACGGGGGCCCGCACAAGCAGCGGAGCGUGUUGCUUAAUUCGAUGCAACGCGAAGAACCUUACCUGGGCUUGACAUGUACGGAAAAGCCGUAGAGAUACGGUGUCCUUC